GCUGGGCACCGUGGCGGGUGCCUGUAAUCCCAGCUACUUGGGAGGCUGAGGCAGGAGAAUGGUUUGAACCCAGGAGGCGAGGAGGUUGCAGUGAGCCGAGAAUGCGCCACUGCUGCACUCCAGCCUGGGUUACAGAGUGAGACUCUUUUUUUU
rnacentral:SRP_RNA from 2 species